rnacentral:lncRNA from 1 species
GGCCCAAUUUUUUUUCACAAUACCCCUCAUCUUUAUUGAAGCAAGAUUAUCAUUUAUAUUGAUCAUAGUGUAAUUUGUGUGUGUCCAUCUUUAAAGGACAAGAUACGAUAAGGCUUGAUUUUGGCCUCCCUAUUUUCUCAUUUUAUAAAUUUUGUUUUGGAAAGCUACUUAUUAUGUUAAAAUAUUACCUUAGGUAUGAAGUUUGUUUGAAUGAACCUCAAAACCAUUAAUUUCCCCUUUUCUGAAAUUAAUGGUUUUGAGGUUCAUUCAAACAAACUUCAACCCUCA